rnacentral:lncRNA from 1 species
CCAGGGGCUCUGGAAGUUGGGAGCCACAUGUGGAGUCCCUGGAGUGCCUGGAGCUCCCAAGGCAGCCACGUGUCCUCCCUGUCCACCAUCCAGGCCCCCUGUGGUUCAGCUCCCGCCAGUCGCCCAGUCCUGCCGCAGAAGUGGGGCGGCCUUGAUUAAGCAGCCAGUGAAGGGGAACGCCCCAGUUUGCAGUGGCUGAGUCAUCCUGACAUCUCCCUGGUGCUGGACCCCAUCGGGGGGCUGAGGGCGGGGUAGCGGGGCGCGGGUGGACACUGGAGAGCCCCUCUUGGGCAGGUCCUUCAACAUAUCAGUGUAGCUCCCAUGUUGUCAAAAAUAAUAACAAAAACAGAAUAGAGGUGGCAGCUACAUUCUAGGUGCCGUUCUGAAUCUGUGCUUACACACGUUAACUCAUUUCUUCCUCCUAACAAUCCCUCAAGGUGGGCACUGUUACUCUUCUCCAUAGACAGAUGAGGAAGACGGAAGCACAGAGAGGUUGAGCAACUUGCCCCAGGUCACACAGCCAACAAGUCGGCAGAGCCGGGAUUUGAACCCCAUGCAGCCUCAGUCCAGCAUCCUUGCUCUUAACCUCUGAGAAAAGGCAGUCAAGAGCCCUGGGGUGUGUGUGUGCGGGGGGUGUCUCUGUAGCGAUUCAGGUGGCCCCCGCAGCAGAUGGACUGCUGUCCAAACAAACAUCCCUGACAAUCGGGCAGAGCUCCUUCCAGGCGUUAGGAAUCCAGGUUGUGGCAGCCAACAGCUUGUGGGCUGUGUGAAGUGACCUCAGGCCAGUGAAGGCCCCUCCCUGUGCCUCAGUUUCCCUCUCUGCAAAAUAGGGCUCAGAUCACAGCAACUCCGCUGACAGGGGACGGCAGGUUGGAGGAGACAAGGAUGCUACUGACUUGCUUACUUAGCAGAGGGCCUGGCACGGGGCGCCAACUCUAAAUAGUCGGAGCAGCUGUUAUUAUCCCCCCGACAUCCCCUCAUUUGCUGAUCACGGGGGUUAAUUAUAAGCGGCAUUAAAUUAUACACACACAGACGCGCCAACCUCGCUUCCCCAGAACCCCUGAAUUUCCGCAAACUCUCAAUUACCCACGUGACAGCGCGACGAUGGGCCAUCCUCCCAGCCUCUCUCCCCACAGCCUGCCUCAUCCGAGGGUCCCAGGCUUCCAGAGCCAUGGCUUCUCCGCCCGCCGGAUACCCCUCUGGGUGUCCAGGAGCGGAAGGAAGGAUGCAUGCGACUGACUGCGGACGCGUUGAGAGCCAGGGGAGGCAUGUUUACCCACAGCAUCUCAUGUCAAGGCUCGCCGCGACGCAGACUGCGACUGUACUGAUCUUAGAGAUGAGAGAACACAGAGAGGUCAGGCAACCCGCCCUAGUUUGCACAGCUCAAGUGAGGAGGGUGGCUCAAGUCAGGGCUCUGACCUGGAACCCAGAGGGGUAACCUCAUUCUGUAAGUGAGGAAGCUCCUGCACGGAGAACUGAAAGGGAAGAGGGGAAGUCAUCCAGGAAGGAAGGAAGGCAGGCAGGCAGGUGAGAUCUGGGAGAAAAAGGGGAAUUUUCAGUUCUCCAGGUAGGGGGAACAGGAGACAGCUGGCCCUUCCUAUAAGGGGCUUAUGGCAAAGAUCAAAAACAACUUAAAAGGAGCAAGGCCACCCAGAUAACAUAAAGAGUACGAGAUGAAAUCUGUCCCCAUGAAACGGGACAUUUGUGAUCCAGCCCCAGUUACGGCGAUGGGGACCGGAGGAGGGAGUCCCCAUGAUCCAAAAAUCCAGGCUCUGAACCCCCAACCAGGGUGGGAUCCGCGGGAAUCAGAAGGAAACAGGAAGCCGCACAGAAACCUGGGUUUAUUUUCAGAUGUGGAAUAUCCCCUCGGCCUCUGCGGGGCGCAGAGGGUGCCUUGAUUCCGGGGAACAGAAGAGGGGAUUCCACGGCUAGCCCAGAAUAGCACCAGCCCCAAGGUCCAGUCUGGCCAGGCCACGAUGUUGGGGGACCGGCAGCUCCAUGGAGGAGGAGGAGGAGGAAAAAAAAAAAAGAGAGAGACAAAAAUAAAGCGAUGUGAAAGUGGAGGGCCUGUCCGUGAAUCACUCCUACCCGUUAAUUUUCGCCUUUGGAGAAGUGUAAGCCAAUUGAUUUUUCAAAUUCCCCACACACAACCCCCUCCCCAGCGCUUCUCAAAUAUCAGCCAGAGACAAGACAGAAAUGGUACGUCGGGUUUUUUUUUUUCUUCCCUUUUUGGUUGAGAGUCUUUUCUUUCCUUAAAGGAAAAGGGGGGGGGGCGGGGGGGAAACCACACACUCCACACUCUUGAACCUCAGGGUUAGAGAGACCCAGGUGUCACCUGUUUCCUAGACAUUUUGGGGCUGCCACUCUCUGCGUGAGACAACAGCCACCCUUUCCCUCGAUCACAUCCCCUACACUUCACUUCCUCUCUCCGUGUCCCCCUUCCUCAAUUCAGAAUGUCACCUGGUGAUAAGAUGACAUGCAUUUGAGCCUCAAUCCCCUUCCAGCAUCCCCUCUCCUCUGCCCCGCAAGCCACAAGCUGGCAGCUUUCCGAUUCCAGAGCAAGCUUGCCACACGAAUCCUGCGAGGAACAGCAGUUAUGUCUUAAUCUCCUCUCCUCCUGUCCCCACCGGAGGCUGAGCCACUCUGCCUGGGUUUUCCCUCCCGCUCGCCCCCAUCCCGAACUCUCUCCACGCCCCGCUUCUUCCCCCACGCACACGGCGGCUGCACCGUCACAGAAAGCAGGUGAACGCGGGGCCACGGGGCGCUCGGGUAGAAAUGCCACGUCGCACCACCAAGUCACACCGUCCCUGCCCGUCCCUCUCCGGCCAUCCCACUAACUAUUGUAUUGGGGCCAUGCAGCCGCUGGAAUAAUCAGCGAAGCCACAGGUCUCCCCAUCUUGGCAAGUGGAGGUGUGCGCUGCCCUCAGACAUCUGUGAACCGCUGUUCAACGCCAACCCCGAAGGCAGAAGGGGAAACCAAGUCACCUCCCAGAAAGACGUUUGAUGAGCAGAGAUAGAUUUGCCUCCAGACUGGUACCAGGUCUGGGGAAACCCAGGCAGAGCCCCAGGCUCUAUGCGACCCAAAGAAGAAAAAAAUGGGUGCACAGUGAUGGCUCCAGGUCUCCCCACCCAGAUGCUACCACGAAAUCCCUGGCAUCCACGAAGCUUCCCCCUGUUCCAUGGUGGAAAUUGGGGGAAAAUGGACUUGUGUCUCCAAGCAGGGUCCAUGGACACUGGACGAUGCCUGAAAUCCCCUGGGAGGCAGGGAAAAAAGGCGCACUGAACGCUCAACCGGGGUAUAAGGAGUGAUUUUUUUUUCUCUGCUGGCAGCAGGCAGGAACCUGGGGUUUGAAUGUCCCCUUCUCUGUCGCCACCUCACGCAGACUUCAGAGGCUCUCAAGGUUUCCUGGAGAGGGGGAAAUCGUCCCCGGAGCUGACCUGCCAACCAGUAGCACCCUCCAGCGCCUCAGCCGGGCCACGCCAAAAUGACCUGUCACCCAUCUCCCGCGGGGAGUGGGGAGCGGGCCAGUCCACCGCCUCUUGGGACGGCAUCUCUGGACGGCCACUGACAGUACCAGUCUCUGUCACCCCCUGGGGGGUUAGGGGCAAUGUCAUCGGCCAGGGUGGCAGAAAUAGAAAAGUGCGUGAGCUCACCAGGCAGCCUGGGUCUCCUGCGACGUUUUGUUUGCCUGAGCCCAAUUAGAACAACUCUCAGGAUGAUGGAGUAUGGCGGGCGGUGGCCCCCAGGGGGCUGGGAGGCCUAGCCCCCAUGCAGAAGUGCACCGUCAUGAUGAGGGUGUCCCCCGGGCCUGGGGAACAGGGCAGGACCCUGCUUCCCGGAGGGAAAUAAUGAAGACUCCGCCAGCCUGCCAGCCAGAAAGAGAUGCCCCACGGAAGGCUUUGUGGAGGGCAGCGGGGGGGUAGGGGAGGGAUGCCCAGGUGGGGACUCAGUCAGGCCCAAGCUGGGGGGCUGUGGGAUUUGAGGGCGGGAAGCAGCCGCCCCCAGCCCCAGCUGCCUGCCUUCCACCGCCAAAAUAUCAGCUGGCAAAGAAAGAAGAGCAGAGGGACAGAAGGCAGGCGCGAUUGGCAGGGGGAGGGGGGCACAAAGGAAGGGACCCUGGGAGGGGGAGGGGACUUAUGCAAAUGGCAGAUUCGACCAAGUCCCUGGGCCAUUAAUAAACGCUCCAGCAGCUGCCGCUGGUAUCGCAGGAGCAGAGGAGCGGGAUGGCUUCCUUCUCCCGGGCGAAAGGCGGCAGAAAGAGGGAAGAAGGGCGCCCCAGACAAAGAGGCGCCGUCACCCUCUGCACCCCAAGGACAGCAGCGAUAGGGGGCCACCCAGAGGAGGCCAGAAUCCCAGCAGCCAAAGUCCGGGUGGUGGCGGACGGGAGCCCGGAGCGUGUGGGUCCCUGUCCUUGGGACCCUAGGGGUCUCUUCCUGCCUCCUCCGGCUUCUAGGUAUCAUCCCUGCUGCUCAGCCG